rnacentral:tRNA from 1 species
UCGGUUUUGGUUCAGUGGUAGAACUCUCGCCUUCCACGCAGGAGACCCGGGUUCAAUUCCCAGCCGAU